GGAAGCUUGAUGCUGUUUAUCUGGGAAAAGAUUGACAAGGCAAAGGCAGAUGCUUUUGGGCCAGCAGUGGCUUCUGGUUUGAUUUGCGGGGAUGGGAUAUGGACUUUGCCUAGUGCGAUACUUGCUCUAGUAGGAGUAAAACCUCCCAUUUGCAUGAAGUUUUUGUCAAGGAGAACAAAUGCUAAGGUCGAUGCGUUCUUAGGGUCAUAAAGUCGAAGUUGAGAUCAACUUGAAUAGAAACUGUUAAGUAAAGCUGAAUUGCUUCCUAGACUAAGGUUAUGAAGUUUACAUGUGAAGUUCGACUCAAAAAUGCUGUGGAUAAUCAAUCACCUGCAAUUUCGUGGAGCCAACCACUAUUUUCGCUAUAAUCUUUUCUGGAGAAGAAAAUCAAAUGUCCAUUUACUUACAUAUGUUUGUAGUUUUUUUCUAGUCUAGUUUGAAGAAGAUAGUAGAACAGAUGCAUCAAGCAAUGUGAAAAGUGAAAAUUACAGUACCCUUUGUGAGCUGUUAUGAUCAGUUGCUAUAUUUGGUAUCAGUUUGCUCAUUUUGCUAGCUAUCAUAUAUCAGGUGGUCCGAUGUGGCAUUGGAAUGGCCUUCUAGUUGUUAGCAGUCUCACAAUAAAAUCAUGCCAGACUUAGUCAUCCAACACGAGAAAAAAAAAAAGAUGGAAAAAAUAUCAGAUGCGUCGAGGAAGACGAUAAAAGCUUCAGCGAAUGAGACUUGUAACAAAUAUUUUACCUAGGUGUUUCCUAAUAAUAUGAAAAGAAGCUGAAAAAUAGAUAAGCAUUCCCGUAGUGAUCUUAAUGGCAUCUAAGCCCAGAGUGAGUGAAGUACAUAAAGAGUGCAACUAUAUUCAUAGUUAAUUAUCAUAGAAUCCUCAACUCUCCAUCUUGCUGUUGUUAUGAUUUGUUUAUAACUCAUCUUCAAUCUCAUGCUUUGUAAGGCAAGAUCCUGCAUUGUUUUUUAGAGAUAAGUUUAAAUUAAAUAACGUUAUAUUUUAUAUAUAUAAUAUAAAGAUUACAAACUCAAUCAUUUGGAUUAUUUUGUGACUGUAGUGUGUUUAAAAAUAUAACAGUAAGUAAUUCCUGUUCUAGAAAAUUUUAAAAUAAUAUAUUUUUUUUAUUUUAAAAAAUGUAUUUUUCAUAUUAGUAUAUUAAAAUAAUUAAAAAAUAUUAAAUAAAAAGUAAUUUAAAACACAGACAGGUUAAAACUCACUGCAACGACCCGUUUUAACUCCUCCUCAUGUUCGUCUUCAAUUCGGAUGUGUUGAGCAAUAAUCACAGCCACUUAUUAAACACGCUCCCAACUCUCUUCGUCUCCAUAAAGAAUCAUUCUUUUAAGAAAAUAAAAUGGAACGUAAUGAAAGAGACGACACCAAGGUAGAGAAUGAUUAUGAUUUGGAGGAUGAUCAUGGUCACAGAAAGAAGGACAAGAAAGAGGAACAAGAAGAAGAGUUGUCAGUGGAAAGAAUAUUUGAGAACCAAGAAGUGCCAUCAUUGGAGGAAUCAGCUGACACUGAGGGCCUUUGUGGUGAGCUUCGUGUUGAGCAUUUUAUUCAGCGUCAUAGUAAUGAAGCUCAAUCUUACAACUGGUAUCAUACCUUCCCUCAAUGUCUCUGCUGGCCUUCUGGGCUUCUUUUUUAUCAAGACCUGGACAAAGUUUCUUGAAAAGUCUGGACUUUUGAAGCAACCCUUUACGAGGCAAGAGAACACUGUAAUACAGACUUGCGUGGUUGCCUCAUCUGGCAUUGCCUUUAGUGGUAUACUUUCUGUACUGUUUACUAUCAUUAAUUUUCAUUUCAUCUCUCUUAAUUAUUUUGAAAUUCAAUUUUUUUUUCUCUUUUCUUUCGAAGUUGAGGAGAUAUCUAGGUUUCUUUUAUCAAGAUAUUAAUAUUUCUGUGCAUUUGGUUUUGUUUCUGUUCUUAAAGGUUGCAAACUUACAAUAGUUACUAAAAUUCGAUGUCAAGAUUUCCAUCUUCUAAUUGCUAGAUUACCUGAUGAGGCAACCACUUUUACUAGAGUAAUCAACACUUAAACUUACCAUUAGAGACAUGAACAAAUCUAUCUCUGUCUCCUGGAGUGUGAUAAUGUUAGGGGUGCAGCUGGUAUGUCACUUGACAGAUACUUUUUUGACAGUUCAAUUCAUAUGCGCUGGAUGUGGAUGACUUCCUAAGUUCAGAUUUAUAUCAGCAAGUCUUAUAACAAUAUUCUGAUUUGUGGAAAAAGAAGUCUUCUCCAUUAGUAAAAGAAAGGAAAAUGUGAAUAAUAUAUGUUUCUAGAAUGCUAGUUGUGAGCUUGCGUUAUUAAUCAAACAUCUUCUCAAACUGUGAAUCAUUAACAUAAUGUCAAGAUGAAUACAUUAUAUUUCUAACUCGUCCAAAUAGUCAAGAAAAGCCUGAUUACUUGCCAAACUUGUUUCGAAACUGAAUUAAUUAUUGUCAUGAAACGGUUAAUUUGUGAUUAUGCUUAUGAUGAUAUUAAACUUGUUGAUUUUUGUACUAAUGGUUUCCAUUCUAUAAUUUUUUCCUUGUUUCCUUAUAAUAGGAGGCUUUGGGAGUUAUCUGUUUGGAAUGAGUGAAACUGUGGCCAAACAAUUAACUGAAGAUAGUGAUGCCUUUAAAAAUCCAUCUCUGUCUUGGAUGAUUGGCUUUUUGUUUGUCGUUAGCUUUCUUGGGCUCUUUUCGGCGGUGCCUCUACGAAAGGUAGACUUUACAACUUAUAUCAGCAUUCAAUUUCUUUAUAUGAUUAUAGAAAAUAGAAAACUUUUUUUUGCAUUUUACAUUUUUGCCGAAUGUAUAGAUUUUCCAAAAAUUAAUCCUCAUUGUUACCCUGGUUAUUUCCAGGUCAUGAUUAUAGACUUCAAAUUGACAUAUCCAAGUGGCACUGCAACUGCUCAUCUCAUCAACAGCUUCCACACUCCUGCAGGAGCCAAGCUAGCAAAGUAAGGCGUUAUCAGACCUCAUGCACUUAUAGUUGGAUGAUCAUUUGACAUGUAAGAGUAUUGAACUUUGUUAUUCUACUGUUACAGGAAACAAGUGAGAGUGUUGGGCAAGUUCUUCUCAUUCAGCUUCUUGUGGGGUUUCUUUCAAUGGUUCUACACUGCAGGAGAUGGUUGUGGAUUUGCUGAGUUCCCCUCGCUUGGUCUUAAAGCACAUGAAAACAAGUAAAAGCAUUACUCAACCUUCCAAAAUCCUCUCUUCUUGUUGAAUGUAGUUCCAUUUACUAUGGCAUUCUGUUUCAAAUUCGUUGUGGUAUCUUUGACUAAUAAUGUUCUUGUUACAUGUACAGAUUUUUCUUUGAUUUCUCAGCAACAUAUGUUGGAGUUGGAAUGAUUUGCCCCUACAUCAUAAACAUAUCAGUUUUGCUUGGAGGAAUUCUUUCCUGGGGUCUCAUGUGGCCUCUCAUAGAUACAAAAAAGGGUGACUGGUAUCCAGCAGACCUCAAACCAGGCAGCUUGCAUGGCCUCCAAGGUUACAAGGUAAGUUUUCUAACAAGGUUAAGGUGACAAGAAUGCCAAUUACAUGAUUUUUAACAUUUUCUUGAAGCCUUUUCUUUCAUACCAACACUUAAGCAAUGAACACAGGUAUUUAUUGCCACUGCCCUGAUCUUGGGUGACGGUCUAUACAACUUCUUCAAGGUUCUAAGCCGAACACUCGCUGCAUUGUUUUUUCAACUUCGUGGGAGAGAUGCAACUGGUGCUCUGCCUAUUGCUGACCGUUCCUCUCCCAAGACAUCCAGGAUCUCCUAUGAUGAGCAACGUCGCACCCAACUCUUUCUCAAAGAUCAAAUUCCAACAUGGUUUGCUUUUGCAGGUUAUGUCACAAUUGCUGCCAUUUCUACAACCACCGUUCCGCAUAUAUUUCCCGAACUAAAAUGGUAUUACAUAUUGGUUAUCUACAUCUUUGCCCCAGCCCUUGCAUUCUGUAAUGCUUAUGGUUGUGGACUCACUGAUUGGUCCCUUGCUUCCACCUAUGGGACGCUUGCUAUUUUUGUAAUUGGGGCGUGGGCUGGUGCCUCUCAUGGUGGAGUUCUUGCAGGACUAGCGGCCUGUGGAGUCAUGAUGAAUAUUGUCUCCACAGCCUCUGAUCUAUCUCAAGAUUUCAAGACUGGUUAUUUGACCCUUUCUUCACCUCGGUCCAUGUUUGUGAGCCAGCUAAUUGGCACUGCAAUGGGUUGCAUGAUUUCCCCGUGUGUAUUUUGGCUUUUUUUUAAGGCCUUCAAGGAUCUGGGGACUCCUGGAAGUCAAUACCCUGCUCCUUAUGCUACUGUAUUUCGAAACAUGGCUAUAUUGGGGGUAGAAGGAUUCUCCUCUCUCCCAAAGAAUUGUCUCUAUCUUUGUUAUUGGUUCUUCGGUGCAGCAAUUCUGAUAAAUUUGAUCAAGGAUGUGUUGGGUAAGAAACGGGCUAGGUUCAUUCCCAAUCCAAUGGCAAUGGCUAUACCUUUCUAUAUUGGCUCAUACUUUGCCAUCGACAUGUGCGUGGGAAGCUUGAUUCUAUUUAUCUGGGAAAAUAUUGACAAGGCAAAGGCAGAUGCUUUUGGGCCAGCAGUGGCUUCUGGUUUGAUUUGUGGGGACGGGAUAUGGACUUUGCCUAGUUCGAUACUUGCUCUAGCAGGAGUAAAACCUCCCAUUUGCAUGAAGUUUUUGUCAAGGAGAACAAAUUCUAAGGUCGAUGCGUUCUUGGGGUCAUAAAUUUGAAGUUCAGAUCAACUUCAAAAGAAACUGUGAGUUAGAGCUGAAUUGCUUCCCAGACUAAGGUUAUGAAGUUUACAUAUGAAGUUCGACUAAAAAAUGCUGUAGAUAAUCACCUGCUAUUUGUGGAGUCAGCAACUAGUUUCUCUAUAAUCAUUUCUGGAGAAGAAAAUCAAAUGUCCAUUUACUUAUAUAUGCUUGUUAGUCGAUCCUUGGAAAUAUGCUUGUAGUUUUUUUCUUGUCUAUUUUGAAGAAGAUAGUGGAACAGAUGCAUCAAACAAUGUGCAAACGGAAAAUCACUGUACCCUCUGUGAACUUUAAACAUAAUAUCAAAAGUGAAUGUGCAAAUAUUACAGGUUGCAGGCAUGUUUAUUUUGAACAUAUUGCAA
rnacentral:lncRNA from 1 species